rnacentral:rRNA from 1 species
UACGGAGGGGGCUAGCGUUGUUCGGAAUUACUGGGCGUAAAGCGCGUGUAGGCGGCUAAGUAAGUCGGGCGUGAAAUCCCACGGCUCAACCGUGGAAGUGCACUCGAAACUGCAUAGCUAGAGUCCUGAAGAGGAAAGCGGAAUUCCACGUGUAGCGGUGAAAUUCGUAGAUAUCAGGAGGAACACCAGUGGCGAAGGCGGCUUUCUGGACGGUAACUGACGCUGAGACGCGGAAAGCGUGGGGAGCAAACAGG